rnacentral:rRNA from 1 species
UACGAAGGGGGCUAGCGUUGCUCGGAAUCACUGGGCGUAAAGGGUGCGUAGGCGGGUUUUUAAGUCAGAGGUGAAAUCCUGGAGCUCAACUCCAGAACUGCCUUUGAUACUGAAAGUCUUGAGUAUGGGAGAGGUGAGUGGAACUGCGAGUGUAGAGGUGAAAUUCGUAGAUAUUCGCAAGAACACCAGUGGCGAAGGCGGCUCACUGGCCCGAUACUGACGCUGAGGCGCGAAAGCGUGGGGAGCAAACAGG